GUACCUCCCGGAGGAGUGGCACUAAGAACACAGGUGAUUGUUGUGGUGGUUAUAUCAAUGCAUUUGUGUUCUCAGGUCACCCCUUUGGGGAACUC